UAGGGAAUCUUCGGCAAUGGACGAAAGUCUGACCGAGCAACGCCGCGUGAGUGAAGAAGGUUUUCGGAUCGUAAAACUCUGUUGUUAGAGAAGAACAAGGACGUUAGUAACUGAACGUCCCCUGACGGUAUCUAACCAGAAAGCCACGGCUAACUACGUGCCAGCAGCCGCGGUAAUACGUAGGUGGCAAGCGUUGUCCGGAUUUAUUGGGCGUAAAGCGAGCGCAGGCGGUUUCUUAAGUCUGAUGUGAAAGCCCCCGGCUCAACCGGGGAGGGUCAUUGGAAACUGGGAGACUUGAGUGCAGAAGAGGAGAGUUGAAUUCGAUGUGUAGCGGUGCAAUGCGUAGAUAUAUGGAGGAACACCAGUGGCGAAGGCGGCUCUCUGGUCUGUAACUGACGCUGAGGCUCGAAAGCGUGGGGAGCAAACAGG
rnacentral:rRNA from 1 species